CUAUUUUGAAUAGCUUAACCAAGCUGUAUAUAUGUAAUAUUAGCAUAUUCAAGCUAAAUUGUAAGUGGAUUGAAUCAAAAGAUUGUGCUGGACCUGUGUGAGCUUGGCUAAGAUGUAUAAUUAUUUAAACUGUUAUUUAUUUCUUUUCAUGCAUCGAAACAUCUUUUCUGUAUAGGGUAAGUAUUAGAUUGAAAAGUUGAACAUCCACUCUUCUCUGUAAAUGAAGUAAAUUCUGUUAAACGUUGAGUCUUAAUCAUUUCUGACGAGCACAGCAAGUGCACAUAAUCCUAGGAAGUUGUACCCACAGAUUUGAAUACUUGUAGUUGGACCGCUGUAGCCACGUGGAGAUGGGUGGCUAAUGAUGAGAACUGUGGAAUCUGUAGAAUGGCUUUUGAUGGCUGCUGUCCUGAUUGCAAACUACCAGGGGAUGAUUGUCCACUAGUGUGGGGGGAAUGUUCUCAUUGUUUUCACAUACACUGUAUCGUCAAAUGGUUGAACUCCCAGCAAGUUAAUCAGCUUUGUCCAAUGUG